UGGGCCCGCGGCCUAUCAGCUUGUUGGUGGGGUGAUGGCCUACCAAGGCGGUGACGGGUAGCCGGCCUGAGAGGGCGACCGGCCACACUGGGACUGAGACACGGCCCAGACUCCUACGGGAGGCAGCAGUGGGGAAUAUUGCGCAAUGGGCGGAAGCCUGACGCAGCGACGCCGCGUGGGGGAUGACGGCCUUCGGGUUGUAAACCUCUUUCGCCAGGGACGAAGAGCAAUUGACGGUACCUGGAGAAGAAGCACCGGCCAACUACGUGCCAGCAGCCGCGGUAACACGUAGGGUGCGAGCGUUGUCCGGAAUUAUUGGGCGUAAAGAGCUCGUAGGCGGUGUGUCGCGUCGGCCGUGAAAACUUGGGGCUUAACUCUGAGCGUGCGGUCGAUACGGGCAUCACUUGAGUUCGGCAGGGGAGACUGGAAUUCCUGGUGUAGCGGUGAAAUGCGCAGAUAUCAGGAGGAACACCGGUGGCGAAGGCGGGUCUCUGGGCCGAUACUGACGCUGAGGAGCGAAAGCGUGGGGAGCGAACAGGAUUAGAUACCCUGGUAGUCCACGCCGUAAACGUUGGGCGCUAGGUGUGGGGACCAUUC
rnacentral:rRNA from 2 species